GCCUGCCCAUGAAAAUUUGCAGGGGAGAAUUUGUGAAUUUGAGGCAUACAGGCAGGAGCAGACUGUCUUGUGUAGAGAAAUCAACAAAGAAGGAUACUUUGCUGGCUCCCUACAUCAGUCAUGGAACACAGGAACCACACUAGGAAAGCUGAAGUCCUGGGCAGAAGAACAAGAAGUGCAGUGGUUUUCUGUCCUCCGUCCAUCCUCUGAGAACAUCUCCCCAUCAUGGAAAGGAGGAUGCAGCAGCCAGAAGCCGUCCUGGAAGCAGAGAGCAGCCCUCGCCAGACACUGAGCCUGCUACACCUUGACCUGGCCUUCCCAGCCUCCAGUACU